CACAGAAGAGAAUCAGUCAAGCAGUAAAAAAAAAAAAGUGUACUACAUCAGAUUUGUAAUUAUCCCCCGAUGUCUGAGUUUUGUUCUUUAUUUAAAAACUGUUGUUGUCAUAUGUUAUAGCUUCCAAUACAUAUCAGAAUGAACACAGUACAUUCUCUAAUGUCAAAAUAUUGAUAGUGAGACCUGAAAGUUCAAUGCAUUUUGUAGCAAAAGGCUAAUCAUUUAAUUGUGAUGCAAUCUUGAAUCACAUCAGGUCUUGAAUUGUGUUUAGUGUGCAAAGGGCUACUGAAUAAUCUAUAUAUAUAUAUAGGCAUUACAUAUCAAAUAAAUAGAACGGAAAGAGUUAAAAAAAGAUAGACACUUAAUAAAAGGAAGGGUGGUGUCCCACUUCCUGUAGAUCUCAGUGUUCAAGACCACCAGCUAUACAAGUAAUCAUACAUACCAGAAGUGAAGAUUGGACUGUGUCUGAUGGGACUGUACACUUCUCACAAUAUGACCUUGCUGUCAUUCGUGGUCAUCUUGACUCUGACAUUCCACGCUUGUCUGAGUGAGCCAGACAUGCUGCACCCAUCUCAGCCCUGCACCAAAGCAGAAAACAAGAAUGGUUACAACACUUUUCUUAAACGACACAUCCGCGAAGGCACACCAACCGAUCUGAAAAAAGAAAACUGGAAGAAGUUCAUUAACAGCAUCAACACCUGGAACAGGACGACUCAGUCAUUCUUUCCCUUCAGUGAGAAAAACCGGGUGGAAGCUGUGUGUUCAUCAGGAGGACAGAUGUUUAAGAAGAACCUCUGCAUCAGCAAGAAGUCUUUUUCCUUCAUCACUGUUAAGAUUGACAGUAAAGAGAAAAAAAUCAAAAGUGUCAAACGUCAAAAACAGCAUGUUAUUCUUGCCUGUGAUAAAUUUGGAAACAAAUGUCUCCCUGAUCAUUUUGAGGCAAAUACAAAAAAUUUUAAACCAAAUAACAACAAACCAGACUGCGGUAAACUGAAUCGCAAUUCUGUUUAUGAGAAAAUGUUUCCAUGGCUGUAAUAGAAGACAAAUGACCUGCAGAACUGCAGAAAAUU
ensembl:lncRNA